CACGGGGCUUUCCUGAGCCUCCAUGACGUCCAGGGUGUAGAGCUUGUGAUGGCGGCAGUAGGACAGAGCCAGGGAACACCAUGCCGCCAGCUGUUUCUGUCUGGUGUCAACAUUGGGCUGUAGCCUGUCCACAAAGAGAAGAACGAAAGAUGUCAGCACAAGUCUGAACUCCAUUCA